UUUUAAAUAAGAUCCAAUUUAUUUAGUAGAUAAAGGACUAUACAGAUUUUCUAUGUCUUCUUUUGUUCAGUCAAUCAUGAUACUUUCUGAGAAUUUUUUAAAACUUUAUCGAAAUUUUUAAUUUUUGCUGUAAAGUUGUUCAAGUACCCUCUUACUAUAGGUUUAGUGUUUGUGGGUCGAAAUAGUGUUUUUUUAAUUGUUGAAAUUGGAAAUUUCUGACACUGCUCUUCUUUUAUUCAUCAGUUUUAGUAGCUAGGUUGUGACCUUUCUGGAUGGCUCUUUAAGGCUUAACAGCUCUGGCUAGAAGCAAACUCCUACUUUUCCAAGCACCAUGAAACCUUGCCCUCCCAGCAGCCGUCUACUGCUCUUAUUAUUUAAGCAGUCUGAUGAAGUAAAAAGCCUUAAUUCCUCUUACACCUCUUUACCAUCCCCCACUAUAAUUGCUUUAAAUAUUUCCUCUAUAUACAUUUAGAACCAAAUCAUUCAGUGCAGUAAUUUUGUUUAAACUGUCAAACACAAUUUAGAAAACUCAAAAAGAGAAGUAAAGCCUAUUGUAUUUCCGUUUUUACUUACCAUGUUAUUUAUUUUUCUUGAUGUUCAAAUGUUUCUUUUUAAAACUGUGUAUCCUUUAAAGAUAACUUCCUUUAACCAUGCUUUAUAUUUGCUAUGUGGUGACCAAUGCUCUCAGUUUUUCUGUCAUUUGAGAAUAACUUGAUUUCUUCAUUUCUAUAGGAUAUUAUUUUCUCUGGAUAUAGGAAUCAGGGAUAAAAUUUCCUUUCUUUAAGCUCUUGAAAUCUACUGUGUCAUUUCCUCUGGGCCUUCAUAGAUUUUGAUGAGAAAUCUCUUGUUUUUCAACUUAUUUUUCCCUGUAGACCCUCUGGCUUUUUUUUUUUUUUGUAACUUUUAUAAUUUAUUUCUGUCUUUACUUUCCGGAAGUUUAAUUAUGAUGUGUCUUGUAAUAAAUUUCUUUGGGUUUAGAGUUUAUCUGAAUUGGAGUUUGCUCAUCUUUUUUAACUGAUAGGCUUAUGUCUCUUCUCAACUUUAGAAAUUUUUAGCCAUUUUUAAAAAUACCUUUUUUUAACCCUAUCCUCUUUCUAUUAUUUUUCUAUGACUCAGAUAAUAGAUAUGUUCUUUCUUUUGUUAUUCUAUUUCAUGCAGCUGAGACCUCGUUUGUUUUUUCAGACUAUUUUCUUCCUGUUAUUCACAUUGAGUAAUUUCCAGUUGUUCUCUAUUGCAGCUCACCAGUUCUUCCCUCUGUUCCCUCCAUUCUGCUGUUGAGUACAUCCACUCAGCUUGUCACUUCAAUUACAACAUUUUUCAUUUCUAAAGCUUUCAUAUAGUUCUUUGCUUAUAUUUUCUAUUUCUUUUCUGGGGCCAUAUAUAUAUAUACAUACACA
rnacentral:lncRNA from 10 species